UACAGAGGGUGCGAGCGUUAAUCGGAAUUACUGGGCGUAAAGCGCGCGUAGGCGGCUUUGCAAGUCGGGUGUGAAAUCCCCAGGCUUAACCUGGGAACUGCAUUCGAGACUGCAUUGCUAGAGUAUGGGAGAGGGAAGUGGAAUUUCCGGUGUAGCGGUGAAAUGCGUAGAUAUCGGAAGGAACAUCAGUGGCGAAGGCGGGUCUCUGGACAGUUCCUGACGCUGAGGCACGAAGGCCAGGGGAGCAAACGGG
rnacentral:rRNA from 1 species